rnacentral:rRNA from 1 species
GGAUUAGAUACCCUGGUAGUCCACGCCCUAAACGAUGUCAACUAGCCGUUGGAUGCGUAAGGCAUUUAGUGGCGAAGCUAACGCGUUAAGUUGACCGCCUGGGGAGUACGGCCGCAAGGUUGAAACUCAAAGGAAUUGACGGGGGCCCGCACAAGCGGUGGAGCAUGUGGUUUAAUUCGAUGCAACGCGAAGAACCUUACCAGCCCUUGACAUCCUCGGAACUUGGUAGAGAUACCUUGGUGCCUUCGGGAAUCGAGUGACAGGUGCUGCAUGGCUGUCGUCAGCUCGUGCCG